AGUGAACGCUGGCGGUAGGCCUAACACAUGCAAGUCGAACGGCAGCACAGUAAGAGCUUGCUCUUACGGGUGGCGAGUGGCGGACGGGUGAGGAAUACAUCGGAAUCUACUUUUUCGUGGGGGAUAACGUAGGGAAACUUACGCUAAUACCGCAUACGACCUACGGGUGAAAGCAGGGGAUCUUCGGACCUUGCGCGAUUGAAUGAGCCGAUGUCGGAUUAGCUAGUUGGCGGGGUAAAGGCCCACCAAGGCGACGAUCCGUGGCUGGUCUGAGAGGAUGAUCAGCCACACUGGAACUGAGACACGGUCCAGACUCCUACGGGAGGCAGCAGUGGGGAAUAUUGGACAAUGGGCGCAAGCCUGAUCCGGCCAUACCGCGUGGGUGAAGAAGGCCUUCGGGUUGUAAAGCCCUUUUGUUGGGAAAGAAAAGCAGCAGGUUAAUACCCCGCUGUUCUGACGGUACCCAAAGAAUAAGCACCGGCUAACUUCGUG
rnacentral:rRNA from 1 species